GAUGAACGCUGGCGGCGUGCCUAAUACAUGCAAGUCGAGCGAACAGACGAGGAGCUUGCUCCUCUGACGUUAGCGGCGGACGGGUGAGUAACACGUGGAUAACCUACCUAUAAGACUGGGAUAACUUCGGGAAACCGGAGCUAAUACCGGAUAAUAUAUUGAACCGCAUGGUUCAAUAGUGAAAGACGGUUUUGCUGUCACUUAUAGAUGGAUCCGCGCCGCAUUAGCUAGUUGGUAAGGUAACGGCUUACCAAGGCAACGAUGCGUAGCCGACCUGAGAGGGUGAUCGGCCAAACGGAAACUGAGACAGGGCCCAGACUCCAACGGGAGGAAGAAGUGGGGAUUCUUCCGAAAUGGGGGAAAGCUUGACGGAGCAAGGCGGGGGGAGGAAUGAAGGUCUUCGAAUCGUAAAACUUUGUAAUUGGGGAAAAACAAAGGUGUAAGAAACUAUGCACGUCUGGAGGGUACCAAAUAAGAAAGCCACGGUAAACUACGG
rnacentral:rRNA from 1 species